GAUGAAGAACGUAGCGAAAUGCGAUAAGUAAUGUGAAUUGCAGAAUUCAGUGAAUCAUCGAAUCUUUGAACGCACAUUGCGCCCGCCAGUAUUCUGGCGGGCAUGCCUGUUCGAGCGUCAUUACAACCCUCAGGCCCCCGGGCCUGGCGUUGGGGAUCGGCGGAGCCCCCCGUGGGCACACGCCGUCCCCCAAAUGCAGUGGCGGUCCCGCCGCAGCUUCCAUCGCGUAGUAGCUAACACCUCGCGACUGGAGAGCGGCGCGGCCACGCCGUAAAACACCCAACUCUUCUGAAGUUGACCUCGAAUCAGGUAGGAAUACCCGCUGAACUUAAGCAUAUCAAUAGGCGGAGGA
rnacentral:misc_RNA from 1 species